GCCGUCGUGGUGGAAUUGGUAGACACGCUAUCUUGAGGGGGUAGUGGCGAAAGCCGUGAGGGUUCGACUCCCUCCGUCGGCACCA
rnacentral:tRNA from 1 species